AUUGAACGCUGGCGGCAGGCCUAACACAUGCAAGUCGAGCGGAUGAAGGGAGCUUGCUCCUGGAUUCAGCGGCGGACGGGUGAGUAAUGCCUAGGAAUCUGCCUGGUAGUGGGGGAUAACGUCCGGAAACGGGCGCUAAUACCGCAUACGUCCUGAGGGAGAAAGUGGGGGAUCUUCGGACCUCACGCUAUCAGAUGAGCCUAGGUCGGAUUAGCUAGUUGGUGGGGUAAAGGCCUACCAAGGCGACGAUCCGUAACUGGUCUGAGAGGAUGAUCAGUCACACUGGAACUGAGACACGGUCCAGACUCCUACGGGAGGCAGCAGUGGGGAAUAUUGGACAAUGGGCGAAAGCCUGAUCCAGCCAUGCCGCGUGUGUGAAGAAGGUCUUCGGAUUGUAAAGCACUUUAAGUUGGGAGGAAGGGCAGUAAGUUAAUA
rnacentral:rRNA from 1 species